rnacentral:lncRNA from 1 species
AGCCACUAUGGUACAAAGUAGGGAGUUUCCUUAAAAAACUAAAAAUAAAACUACCAUGCGAUCCAGUAAUUCCACUCUGGGUUUUUAUCCAAAGAAAGUUAUUUUUUUUUAUUUUUUUUUUCAACGUUUAUUUAUUUUUGAGACAGAGAGAGACACAGACAGAGACAGACACAGACACAGAGACAGACACAGACACAGAGACAGACACAGACACAGAGACAGACACAGACACAGAGACAGACACAGACACAGAGACAGACACAGACACAGAGACAGACACAGACACAGAGACAGACACAGACACAGAGACAGACACAGACACAGAGACAGACACAGACACAGAGACAUACACAAACACAUACACAUAUACAUACACAAACACAUACACAUACAUAUACAUAUACAUACACAUACAUAUACAUACACAUACAUAUACAUACACAUACACAUAUACAUACACAAACACAUACACAUAUAUAUACAUAUACAUACACAUACACGCACAUACAUACACACAUACAUAUACAUACACAAACACAUACACAUACACAUAUACAUAUACAUACACAUACAUAUACAUACACAUACACAUACACAUAUACAUACACAUACAUAUACAUAUACACAUACACAUAUACAUAUACAUACACAUACACAUAUACAUAUACACAUACACAUACAUACACAUACACAUAUACAUACACAUACAUAUAUGCAUACACAUACAUAUAUAUACACAUACAUAUACAUACACAUACACAUAUACAUACACAAACACAUACACAUAUACAUACACAUACAUAUACAUACACAUACACAUACACAACACAUACACAUAACAUACACAUACACAUAUAUAUACAUAUACAUAACAUACACAUAUACAUACACAAACACAUACACAUACAUAUACAUAUACAUAUACAUAUACAUAACAUACACAUACACAUAUACAUAUACAUACACAUACAUAUACAUAUACACAUACACAUAUACAUAUACAUACACAUACACAUAUACAUACACAUACACAUAUACAUAUACACAUACACAUAUACAUACACAUACACAUACACAUACACAUACAUAUACAUAUACACAUACAUAUACAUAUACAUACACAUACACAUACACAUACACAUAUAUACAUAUACAUACACAUACACAUAUAUAUACAUAUAC